AGAACAACUAACCAGUGUUCAAUAAUACUUCAGGGGAAACUAACCCAACCGUGAAGACAAUAUUCAGAGCAAGAAGACACCUGGACGUGGAUGAGGAAGUUGCUCUUCAUUUACACCUCCACGCCAAACUAUAAUUCUUUCUUUCACCUUUAACCCUUACCUCCAGGAAGACCCCGUCUGUUGUUUACACAGUGUGUUUGUGUCGCUAGGGGCAACCAUACUCUGGUUAUUUCUAGCACAGAACCUGAUCCCUAUUCGCAGAAGUCGCGACUGGCUGCCGUUUGUUCCUCUCCACUUGUCAUCAAGGAGGCUCUUUAGCAGGGGGACGACGCUUCGCUAUGGCACAACCACCGCCACCACCUGCAGCUCAACAACCACCGCCAUAUUAUCCAUAUCCGGCCUACUAUCCUCCACCCUCCACCACAACAGCAGCAGCAGCAACAACAGCAAAGUGUUGUCGUAGUCAACACCAAUAACACUGCGCCUCAGACUGUCGUCGUUCAGAGACAAGGGGUGAAUCAUGCCCUUCACUGCAUCAUCACUGUUUUCUUCUGGCCCUGGAUCAUCGUCUGGAUCAUCUUGUGUAUCAUGGACGCUGCGUGAACGGGUGGAGUCAGGUCCUGAUGAAGACAUCCAAGAGGAUCUGGUCGAACCUUCCUGACAUACUGGGAAACUUUCUGACUUACAUGUCUUACAGAAUAGUAUUCAUGCAUUAAUUACCAUCAGUGCUUUGUUAAAACCACAAGUAGAUACACAUUACAAAAUUUGAUUGCUUGAUAUUGAAAUUGAAGACAGAUGUCUUGAAGGAUUUGAAGAACAGAAACAUUUUUAAUGAGCUCUGUAUCUUAGAGCUCGAGCUAGCUUUACUUACCAACUACAAGAAUCAAAGGCACCGCAUGAAUACAUACAUUACAUAGAUUGAUAAAGAACACAUUUAUACAAUGAACAUAUAUCUAAAUAAUGACACACGCCAGUCUGAUAAAGACGCAGUUAUUGAAUCUUAUUAAUUGUAUAAAUUAUUAAUUAAAAGAAAACAGAAAAUUGUUGGAGCCUGCGCACAAUCUGUGAGGUCAUGCAAUUGUUUUCAACUUUAUUGCUCAUUCCCUAUUUUUUUAUUCUGUGUGUUUUAUUAUCUAUUUUUGUUUUUUUUUUAUUCAGGAAGAGUAUAGGGUCGGAUAUUCUUUUGGGGGAGAGGGGUAAUCACGAGAAAAAAUGUUGUACUCUUAGAACAAUUUUUUUCCAGGGACCAAAGUGGACUUUACAGUUCAUCUUAUAUCUGAUUUUGUCAUGAUCUUUAUAUUUUAUAGACUUUAUCAUCUAUUUUAUGUGCCAUAGGUGGUGGUCUUUUAUUCAGCCAUGACCUCAUCUUAGUAUAGUUCUCUCUCUCUAUAUAUAUAUUUAUUUUAGUAAGUAUCUUUUUUUGGAAAAUGUUAAAAAAUGUGCUGCUUAACUUAAAUUACUUUAAUGAACUGUGAUAAUACCGUGAACAUGGCGGUAUACUUUUAGUAAUUAAAAUUGCUCUAUUGUAUGAAAA